GACAGAGGUGCCAAGCGUUAGGCGGAAUCACUGGGCUUAAAGCGUGUGUAGGCUGGUCGUUAAGUACCUUGUGAAAUCCCACGGCUCAACCGUGGAACUGCUCGGUAUACUGGCGAUCUUGGGCCACUUAGGGGCUAGCGGAACAAACGGUGGAGCGGUGAAAUGCGCAGAUAUCAGGAAGAACACCCGUGGCGAAGGCGGCUCUCUGGGACGGUACUGACGCUGAGACGCGAAAGCGUGGGGAGCGAACAGG
rnacentral:rRNA from 1 species